rnacentral:rRNA from 1 species
AGCUCCAAUAGCGUAUAUUAAAGUUGUUGCAGUUAAAAAGCUCGUAGUUGGAUUUCUGGCGGGGGCCGCUGGUCCGCGGCGCAAGUCGCGUGCACCGAUGCGUGCCUACCGCCAUCCUCGGGGGGACCACUCGUGGGAUUAGUUUCUCGUGGGUGUGGACGCCCGUCGUUUACUGUGAAAAAAUUAGAGUGUUCAAAGCAGGCUGAGGCCGUUGAAUACAUUAGCAUGGAAUAAUGAGAUAGGACCUUGGCGGUCUAUUUUGUUGGUUUGCACGCCAAGGUAAUGAUUAAUAGGGAUAGUUGGGGGUAUUCGUAUUCAAUUGUCAGAGGUGAAAUUCUUAGAUUUAUGGAAGACGAACUACUGCGAAAGCAUUUACCAAGGAUGUUU